rnacentral:rRNA from 1 species
UACGGAGGGGGCUAGCGUUGUUCGGGAUUACUGGGCGUAAAGCGCACGUAGGCGGCUUUGUAAGUUAGAGGUGAAAGCCCGGGGCUCAACUCCGGAAUUGCCUUUAAGACUGCAUCGCUCGAAUUGUGGAGAGGUAAGUGGAAUUCCGAGUGUAGAGGUGAAAUUCGUAGAUAUUCGGAAGAACACCAGUGGCGAAGGCGACUUACUGGACACAUAUUGACGCUGAGGUGCGAAAGCGUGGGGAGCAAACAGG